rnacentral:sRNA from 1 species
CCGGGGACUGAAGUCCACGGCUACAUUGUACCGUCCUUAUAGGACU